rnacentral:lncRNA from 1 species
ACCAUGAAUUUUUUUGCCUCUUUUUGUAUCCCCAGCCCUUAAGGCAGUGGCUAGUACACAAUAGGUGUGUAAUAAAUAUUGAUUGACUGAUUGAUUGUUCUCCCAUCCAGCCUUCUCACCACUGCCUCUGAUGUCCAAGUUUGCUCAUGUCACUCCUUUGCUCAUAUGCCUCCACCAUUACAUUUAUGCUGCUCUACCUUAGUCCUACUCCUAGACAGCUGUUUGGGACACUAAGAGGUUAAGUGUUUUCCCUAUGGUCAUGCAGCCGGUAUAUACCAGAAUUAUGCUCCAACCCAGGUGUGCCUGACCCUAAAGUUGGUCCCCGUUCAUUAUACUUCAAUGCCUCUCACCUACUUCAGUAGAAAGAAAUUUGAAUCUUUUCAGUGAAAGAAGGAAUGUUGGUUGUGUCAUUUAGCUCCAGUUUAGCAAGAGUUUAGCAAAUACAUCUUAUCAGAAAUGAAGCAGCUGAAAAUCUGGGUUGUGACACACACUGUACAUAACAGAAGUGUGGUGAACCCACACUGCACUGAAUAAAUAAAAGCUUAAAUUUUUUAAAAAAAUACAUGCUUAAAGAACUCUGUGUGCCUAUAUACAGAAACAAAAGAUCUUUUCAGCACCACCCAAGAGGAAAAAAAAACUAUUCAAAAUAUUUUCUUGAGGACUGAAAACAACUUUAAAAGCUUUGCUUUUCAAAGGCAGCUCACCCCCAAGCCUCCACCUACGAAUAGAGCCAUUGACCUUUCCAGGGCAUGGUAUGAGUUUCUGGGAAAAGUGUGACCAGAUGAAAAUGACCUCCUGGGGGAAACUUCUGUUUCCAUAACGGUGCUGAAGAAACUAAGCCUCGUGGGGGAAAUGAAGGGCAUGGUGACAAUACGUCAAAGGGCUUGAGCAAAUCCAUUAAAUUAGCCAUAUACUCAAAUCAUAAUGCGGCCCUUUGUUUUCUCCCUCUUAGAGCUUAGUCACAAAAGUCUGGUGUUGUCAUGGGUACAGCUUUUAUGAAACUUUUGCCAGGAGCACUGUAACAUCCCAGCCCUCUUGAGUUUUCAGUGGUUCAGUUGUCAUACCACACAGGCCCACAAUUCAAUCAGCAAGCAUUUACUAAGUAUUUACCAUGACAAGCACUGUGCUGGGUACUGGAGAUGCAAAGACAAAAAAAAUGAAAUAAUGCCCCA